UACGGAGGGUGCGAGCGUUAAUCGGAAUUACUGGGCGUAAAGGGUGCGUAGGUUGUUAUAUAAGUUGUCUGUGAAAGUCCUGAGCUCAACUUAGGGAUGUCAGAUAAGACUGUAUGACUAGAGUAUGGGAGAGGGUAGUGGAAUUUCCGGUGUAGCGGUGAAAUGCGUAGAGAUCGGAAGGAACACCGGUGGCGAAGGCGGCUACCUGGCCUAAUACUGACACUGAGGCACGAAAGCGUGGGUAGCAAACAGGAUUAGAUACCCUGGUAGUCCACGCUGUAAACGAUGUCAACUAGCUGUUGGUUUUUAAGAGAAUUAGUAGCGAAGCGAACGCGAUAAGUUGACCGCCUGGGGAGUACGGUCGCAAGAUUAAA
rnacentral:rRNA from 1 species